rnacentral:misc_RNA from 1 species
UCGUAACAAGGUCUCCGUUGGUGAACCAGCGGAGGGAUCAUUACCGAGUUUACAACUCCCAAACCCAAUGUGAACGUUACCAAUCUGUUGCCUCGGCGGGAUUCUCUGCCCCGGGCGCGUCGCAGCCCCGGAUCCCAUGGCGCCCGCCGGAGGACCAACUCAAACUCUUUUUUCUCUCCGUCGCGGCCUACGUCGCGGCUCUGUUUUAUUUUUGCUCUGAGCCUUUCUCGGCGACCCUAGCGGGCGUCUCGAAAAUGAAUCAAAACUUUCAACAACGGAUCUCUUGGUUCUGGCAUCGAUGAAGAACGCAGCGAAAUGCGAUAAGUAAUGUGAAUUGCAGAAUUCAGUGAAUCAUCGAAUCUUUGAACGCACAUUGCGCCCGCCAGUAUUCUGGCGGGCAUGCCUGUCCGAGCGUCAUUUCAACCCUCGAACCCCUCCGGGGGGUCGGCGUUGGGGAUCGGCCCCUCACCGGGCCGCCCCCGAAAUACAGUGGCGGUCUCGCCGCAGCCUCUCCUGCGCAGUAGUUUGCACACUCGCACCGGGAGCGCGGCGCGGCCACAGCCGUAAAACACCCCAAACUCUGAAAUGUUGACCUCGGAUCAGGUAGGAAUACCCGCUGAACUUAAGCAUAU